GACGAACGCUGGCGGCGUGCUUAACACAUGCAAGUCGAACGGUGAAGCGCCUUCCUUUUUGGUGGGUGUGGAUGAGUGGCGAACGGGUGAGUAACACGUGAGUAACCUGCCCCCUUCUUCUGGAUAACCGCAUGAAAGUGUGGCUAAUACGGGAUAUUCUGGGUCUGUCGCAUGAUGGGUCUGGGAAAGAUAUUGUUUCGGUGGGGGAUGGGCUCGCGGCCUAUCAGCUUGUUGGUGGGGUGAUGGCCUACCAAGGCGGUGACGGGUAGCCGGCCUGAGAGGGUGGACGGUCACACUGGGACUGAGACACGGCCCAGACUCCUACGGGAGGCAGCAGGGGGGAAUAGUGCACAAUGGGCGCAAGCCUGAUGCAGCGACGCCGCGUGAGGGAUGGAGGCCUGCGGGUUGUGAACCUCUUUCGCCAGUGAAGCAGGCCUGCCUCGUUUGUGGGUGGGUUGACGGUAGCUGGAUAAGAAGCGCCGGCUAACUACGUG
rnacentral:rRNA from 1 species